rnacentral:rRNA from 1 species
AAAUUGAAGAGUUUGAUCAUGGCUCAGAUUGAACGCUGGCGGCAGGCCUAACACAUGCAAGUCGAACGGUAACAGGGAUCAGCUUGCUGAUUCGCUGACGAGUGGCGGACGGGUGAGUAAUGUCUGGGAAACUGCCUGAUGGAGGGGGAUAACUACUGGAAACGGUAGCUAAUACCGCAUAACGUCGCAAGACCAAAGAGGGGGACCUUCGGGCCUCUUGCCAUCGGAUGUGCCCAGAUGGGAUUAGCUAGUAGGUGGGGUAACGGCUCACCUAGGCGACGAUCCCUAGCUGGUCUGAGAGGAUGACCAGCCACACUGGAACUGAGACACGGUCCAGACUCCUACGG